UCAUUUCUCGUGUUGUAUGUGUGUUUACAUCGGUUCUGCAAUUGAUUUUGUUGGGAUGGCCAAUUUGUGUGAAAUAGGGUAGUCAGUGUUCUCGUGUCUUGUAGUUGGUUGAUGAGCUACAAAUAAUAGACUCAUUAAUUCGGAAUUUAUAUACCUCUCCCUUUGCAACUUGAAAGCCAUCCUGGUUUGAGCAAGACCAAAUACACGACAUCCUGGUGGGCACUCAUAUAUUCCAUAACAUAAUAAAAUCCAGAAUCGCCACUCUUCAAAAUGUACCUGAGGUGCACUUGAUUAUGUAUGUAUGAAUUGAGGUGGUACCUUAAUUCAAUGAUGAUGAAGCAUGUAUAGUUGUUUCGAGGCUAUAUUUUGUGUAUUGGGAAAAUUUGAUACUGCAAAAAGGACUAAGGAACGUGCAGGAGGUUGGUAUCGUCUGACAAGAGAAAUUCUCAAGGCCCUAGAUGCACCUUCUGCAAAGGACAUUGAUAUCAAAACAAAAGAUGCUCUCCAUCCAAAGAUAAAGCAAAGAUGACAAGACGGCCCCAACUCUUGAUCAAACUUGUAAUGAGAAGGCUACACAAACACUUAAAGUGAAACAUAAUUGAGAAAACAAUCGAGCGAAUUGAUCACCAUGAUAUCGUGGUGAAGCUGUUCGGGAAGUCGCUGAACGAGGUCGAUUACAGUGUUGUUAUCGGAGACGAACUGGUUGAGCUAAUGAAGCUUUCUCUGGUGCUCGGCGAGCGUGUCGAGAACGCGCUGGGAGGCUUUGCGAGCUACGUCUGGGGGAAAAGGGACACUCACCUUUUCAAUGGAUUGUUCAUCGAAAAAGUGUGACGGCCGAAAGUGUAACUGACCAAAGAGGUUGCGGAGGAGCGCAACGCGCUGAAGCGAUUGCGGAAUGCUGCUCUUCGGGACCCAGGUAUGAUUUCUGAGAUAGUGAUUUGUUGCGUAUGUGUUAGUGGAGAUGGAUCAGCAUCAGAUUUGGUCUUAUUGUUAGGCUUCAAAUCCGAUAGAUUUCUUGUAUGAUAUGUUUUAUAAUUAUAAUUUUAAUAACCAUUGUUAAUGAAAGUGAUGCAUUCUUAAAAUUGACAAGUUAUUACAUUUUUAAAUUGAUGCUUCGUAGUUUUAUUUUCUAUUAUAAAUUGAAUUUAAUUGCUGAUGAAGUAUGAGUCCGUCCUAGAAAGUUUGAUCUGCUUAUUAAAUUUUAUUCAUUUAACUUAUAAUAUUAAACCUAUAUAAGCAAAUUAUUUCAUGUCACUUGCUGCCAACACUAAGGAAAUACAUAUCAGCAAGCAAUCAACUUCCUACUGUUUUAGCCUUAAUUUGGCUGUACAUUUUGUUAGAGACAAAAUACAACCUUCCCUGCCUUGGUCAUAUGUAUAUAUGCCCAUUCACAUGCUUCCACACUUGAUUUUGUGCAAAGAAGCCAGUUUUAUUAUCUUAGCACACGAUUGUUUUGAAAUCCUAAUUCCGCAAAGAUGAGAAGAAAGAAAGCUGAGGUUGAGUAAGAACUGGGUCAGUAGUCCCUGGCCAAGGUGGAGAUACACGAGUUGGAUCAAUGGUAAAUGCAGAAGCAGAUUAUUGUGGUGAGUAGCUGAGAGACGAAAACGAGAGACGAAAACUGAUGAAUUUUUGUACAAUUUUAUGCUUAAUGUGAGGCCUUCAUAAAAACUCACCUAAACAAUAAACAUUGCACGCAAAAGAUGCAAUAGUGUAAUUUAACAAUUUCCCUUAUGUUUUAUGCGUAGGCGUAACUCAUUUGUUCAUGCAUUUAAAUCUGCACAGGUACGAUUAUUCUUGGGACGAUUACAAUAAACUACAAAGGUAUGUAUUCAUCCAAAUUUCAAAUGUUGUUGUGUUUUCAGCUCGUGUUUCUGCACUUAUAACAAAGACGAUGUUCCUACGUACACAUAAUAGCAUUAAUAUUUUUGACGCCAAUUACUUCCUAGCAUCUCUGUUCUAUUCACUUAUUAGGGUCACAAAUAAUGCAAUAUUAGAUUUGUCCGUGACUGUUUCCAGACUUGCAAUCUUCUACAUGCAAAGAGAUUACAACUUCUACCUUGCAUUGGCUUAUACCAUUCUAGCAUUCAUUCUAAAGAUCCUAUUUUCAUUUGUAGAUGUUUUUCUAUGGACAGGGCUUACACACUAUGUUAUAGAUUACAGUCCUGAACCAGAAAGGUAAAGUUUCAUAGAAUAUUUUACUGAAUUAAUGAAAUUGCAGGAAGUCCUUGCUACAUGGCACCUGAGGUGUUAAAGCACAACUAUGGUCCAGGAUAUAUGUUUGGAGUGAUGGUGUAAUUCUCUACAUUUUACUCUGCGGUUUCCCGCCCUUUUGUGACGAUUAGGGAAAAGGAACUGACAGUAAUAAAGUAUGUACCUCAUCACUGCAAGGAGCACUGGUUGGAGUAAUAUAUCCAGACAACUAGGGAGCUUUGUUCACUGCGCUGGCUGUCAUAUAUGCAGUGUUAUGAAAAGCGCAAAUCGGCUCUAGGCGGUGGAAGGACCUUCUAGCGCUUAAGCGGUAAAGCGGACGCUUAAGCGGAAUCUUAAGCGGGCCAAUAAGCGGAUUAAUAAAAUAUAAUUAAAUAUUUAAUUUUAAUAUUAAUAUAUUCAAAAAUAAUGUUAUAUUGUGGUAAGAAUUUAAAUUUUUAAUAAUAUAUAUAUUUUUUAAUUUUUUAAUAUAAUUAUAAUUAUAUUAUAUAAAAAAAUAUUUUAAAACUGAAAAAUUAGCAAGUCAAAAUCAUUUUGACCGCUUAAGUACCGCUUAAUCCGCUUAACGACCGCUUAAUCCGCUUAAUAGUCCGCUUAAUUUUCAAAAACGCUUAAGAACCCGCUUAAUACAAAAUCGAGGCGUUUUAGGACCGAUUCCGCUUAAGCGGCCGCUUAAGCGGCCGCUUAAUGCGCUUUUUAAAACACUGCAUAUAUGCGCUAACAUCCGGGUUUGCAGGCUAUGAUGCAGCCUCUUUUUAUUGCCAACAUGAAGGAACAAACUGGGUGCGAACACUAUUAAUGAGUCAGAACUCAACUGAGACAAAAAUCUUGUCUUUGACCUCUUUAUCAAAGCAAAUUAUGGAGAUAGCUGCCUGACUGUGAGUUGCUGGAUAUGAUGAAAGAUUGGAUCAAUGAAGAACCACAAGAGGUGCUACUGGGAUGGGAAGUGCACAUCAGAGGAAUGGAAAAAAUGAUAAAUUUGGUAAAUUACAUGCAAAAAAGCAAGAAGUAGCAACAGAGUUGGAGCAUGAGAUUUUCGCUUCUUUGGUGAAUGAUCUCAUUUGUAGUUUUCGAAGAAAUGGCUUAGUCAUAGUGUACAUUUUUUUUUUCAAAAUCGAAUUGUAUUGCGUGUUUAAAAGGUGUAUCCUCUUGUAUACGAUGAAUCUGGGCUAUUUGCUUCUAUAUAAUAAUGAUACUGUUAGGUCCAAAGUAUCGUAGAAGGGGGGGGUUGAAUACGAUACUCACUACAAUUUAAAAUUCUUUCGAAUCUUGCGGAUAAACAAAUUGCAGUUCUGUAAUGGGUUUCGUGUUCCGGAUAUUUAUUGGGUCGGUUUCUGAGGAUAUGAAAAUAUUAAACCAACACACAAUAUUUUCCAAGGUAUAUCUGUAUAUUGAUAAAUACCUCGAAGGUGCUAUAAAUCCAAACCCGAAGGUUGGCUACAAUGACCACUCCUCUAAAUAUUACAAGCCCUAUCCACUACAAAUAUUUAUGGUACAAAACUAGGCUAGGGUGUGUGUAUAUUUGAGAGAGUUUGUGCAAAGCACUUGGUCAUCCAUCCCGAAGGAUGAUGUAAAUUGUGAGAACCACAAUCACAUAUUUAUAGGCUUUCAUAAACUAACCAUGGUUAACGAGUUCGUCCUGGACGACUUGAGUUCGUCCUGGACGGAUUCGAUUUAACAAAAUAAAUCUAA